UACGUAGGGCGCAAGCGUUGUCCGGAAUUAUUGGGCGUAAAGAGCUCGUAGGCGGUUUGUCGCGUCUGCUGUGAAAACGCGAGGCUCAACCUCGCGCCUGCAGUGGGUACGGGCAGACUAGAGUGCGGUAGGGGAGAUUGGAAUUCCUGGUGUAGCGGUGGAAUGCGCAGAUAUCAGGAGGAACACCGAUGGCGAAGGCAGAUCUCUGGGCCGUAACUGACGCUGAGGAGCGAAAGCGUGGGGAGCGAACAG
rnacentral:rRNA from 1 species